rnacentral:rRNA from 1 species
UUAAGCGACUAAGCGUACACGGUGGAUGCCCUGGCAGUCAGAGGCGAUGAAGGGCGUGCUAAUCUGCGAUAAGCGCCGGUAAGGUGAUAUGAACCGUUAUAACCGGCGAUACCCGAAUGGGGAAACCCAGUGUGAUUCGUCACACUAUCAUUAACUGAAUCCAUAGGUUAAUGAGGCGAACCGGGGGAACUGAAACAUCUAAGUACCCCGAGGAAAAGAAAUCAACCGAGAUUCCCCCAGUAGCGGCGAGCGAACGGGGAGGAGCCCAGAGCCUGAAUCAGCAUGUGUGUUAGUGGAAGCGUCUGGAAAGGUGCGCGAUACAGGGUGACAGCCCCGUACACAAAAGCGCAUGUGCUGUGAGCUCGAUGAGUAGGGCGGGACACGUGGUAUCCUGUCUGAAUAUGGGGGGACCAUCCUCCAAGGCUAAAUACUCCUGACUGACCGAUAGUGAACCAGUACCGUGAGGGAAAGGCGAAAAGAACCCCGGCGAGGGGAGUGAAAAAGAACCUGAAACCGUGUACGUACAAGCAGUGGGAGCACAGGUUUACCUGUGUGACUGCGUACCUUUUGUAUAAUGGGUCAGCGACUUAUAUUCUGUAGCAAGGUUAACCGUAUAGGGGAGCCGGAGGGAAACCGAGUCUUAAUUGGGCGUUAAGUUGCAGGGUAUAGACCCGAAACCCGGUGAUCUAGCCAUGGGCAGGUUGAAGGUUGGGUAACACUAACUGGAGGACCGAACCGACUAAUGUUGAAAAAUUAGCGGAUGACCUGUGGCUGGGGGUGAAAGGCCAAUCAAACCGGGAGAUAGCUGGUUCUCCCCGAAAGCUAUUUAGGUAGCGCCUCGUGAAUUCAUCUCCGGGGGUAGAGCACUGUUUCGGCUAGGGGGCCAUCCCGGCUUACCAACCCGAUGCAAACUGCGAAUACCGGAGAAUGUUAUCACGGGAGACACACGGCGGGUGCUAACGUCCGUCGUGAAGAGGGAAACAACCCAGACCGCCAGCUAAGGUCCCAAAGUCAUGGUUAAGUGGGAAACGAUGUGGGAAGGCCCAGACAGCCAGGAUGUUGGCUUAGAAGCAGCCAUCAUUUAAAGAAAGCGUAAUAGCUCACUGGUCGAGUCGGCCUGCGCGGAAGAUGUAACGGGGCUAAACCAUGCACCGAAGCUGCGGCAGCGAACGUAUCACCCAAGACAACUUUACGGAGUUGACGAUUGACGGAGCGAAGCGACGUCAAAGCGUUCAUUAAAGUCGAGUUGGCUUAGGGAUACGUUCGUUGGGUAGGGGAGCGUUCUGUAAGCCUGUGAAGGUGUGUCGUGAGGCAUGCUGGAGGUAUCAGAAGUGCGAAUGCUGACAUAAGUAACGAUAAAGCGGGUGAAAAGCCCGCUCGCCGGAAGACCAAGGGUUCCUGUCCAACGUUAAUCGGGGCAGGGUGAGUCGACCCCUAAGGCGAGGCCGAAAGGCGUAGUCGAUGGGAAACGGGUUAAUAUUCCCGUACUUGGUGUUACUGCGAAGGGGGACGGAGAAGGCUAUGUUGGCCGGGCGACGGUUGUCCCGGUUUAAGCGUGUAGGUGUGUGUUCCAGGUAAAUCCGGUUCACUUUAACACUGAGGCGUGACGACGAGGCACUACGGUGCUGAAGCAACAAAUGCCCUGCUUCCAGGAAAAGCCUCUAAGCAUCAGGUAACAUCAAAUCGUACCCCAAACCGACACAGGUGGUCAGGUAGAGAAUACCAAGGCGCUUGAGAGAACUCGGGUGAAGGAACUAGGCAAAAUGGUGCCGUAACUUCGGGAGAAGGCACGCUGACACGUAGGUGAAGUGAUUUACUCAUGGAGCUGAAGUCAGUCGAAGAUACCAGCUGGCUGCAACUGUUUAUUAAAAACACAGCACUGUGCAAACACGAAAGUGGACGUAUACGGUGUGACGCCUGCCCGGUGCCGGAAGGUUAAUUGAUGGGGUCAGCGUAAGCGAAGCUCCUGAUCGAAGCCCCGGUAAACGGCGGCCGUAACUAUAACGGUCCUAAGGUAGCGAAAUUCCUUGUCGGGUAAGUUCCGACCUGCACGAAUGGCGUAAUGAUGGCCAGGCUGUCUCCACCCGAGACUCAGUGAAAUUGAACUCGCUGUGAAGAUGCAGUGUACCCGCGGCAAGACGGAAAGACCCCGUGAACCUUUACUAUAGCUUGACACUGAACAUUGAGCCUUGAUGUGUAGGAUAGGUGGGAGGCUUUGAAGUGUGGACGCCAGUCUGCAUGGAGCCGACCUUGAAAUACCACCCUUUAAUGUUUGAUGUUCUAACGUGGACCCGUAAUCCGGGUUGCGGACAGUGUCUGGUGGGUAGUUUGACUGGGGCGGUCUCCUCCUAAAGAGUAACGGAGGAGCACGAAGGUUGGCUAAUCCUGGUCGGACAUCAGGAGGUUAGUGCAAUGGCAUAAGCCAGCUUGACUGCGAGCGUGACGGCGCGAGCAGGUGCGAAAGCAGGUCAUAGUGAUCCGGUGGUUCUGAAUGGAAGGGCCAUCGCUCAACGGAUAAAAGGUACUCCGGGGAUAACAGGCUGAUACCGCCCAAGAGUUCAUAUCGACGGCGGUGUUUGGCACCUCGAUGUCGGCUCAUCACAUCCUGGGGCUGAAGUAGGUCCCAAGGGUAUGGCUGUUCGCCAUUUAAAGUGGUACGCGAGCUGGGUUUAGAACGUCGUGAGACAGUUCGGUCCCUAUCUGCCGUGGGCGCUGGAGAACUGAGGGGGGCUGCUCCUAGUACGAGAGGACCGGAGUGGACGCAUCACUGGUGUUCGGGUUGUCAUGCCAAUGGCACUGCCCGGUAGCUAAAUGCGGAAGAGAUAAGUGCUGAAAGCAUCUAAGCACGAAACUUGCCCCGAGAUGAGUUCUCCCUGAGACUUUAGGUCUCCUGAAGGAACGUUGAAGACGACGACGUUGAUAGGCCGGGUGUGUAAGCGCAGCGAUGCGUUGAGCUAACCGGUACUAAUGAACCGUGAGGCUUAACCU